rnacentral:rRNA from 1 species
ACCUGACUGCUAUCGGAUUGAUACUAAGCCAUGCGAGUCAUUGUAGCAAUACAAGGCAUACGGCUCAGUAACGCGUAGUCAACCUAACCUAUGGACGGGAAUAACCUCGGGAAACUGAGAAUAAUGCCCGAUAGAACACUAUACCUGGAAUGGUUUGUGUUCCNAAUGAUUUAUCGCCGUAGGAUGGGACUGCGGCCUAUCAGUUUGUUGGUGAGGUAAUGGCCCACCAAGACUAUUACAGGUACGGGCUCUGAGAGGAGUAGCCCGGAGAUGGGUACUGAGACACGGACCCAGGCCCUAUGGGGCGCANCAGGCNANAAAACUUUGCAAUGUGCGAAAGCACGACAAGGUUAAUCCGAGUGAUUUGUGCUAAACGAAUCUUUUGUUAGUCCUAGAACCACUAACGAAUAAGGGGUGGGCAAGUUCUGGUGUCAGCCGCCGCGGUAAAACCAGCACCUCAAGUGGUCAGGAUGAUUAUUGGGCCUAAAGCAUCCGUAGCCGGCUCUGUAAGUUUUCGGUUAAAUCUGUACGCUUAACGUACAGGCUGCCGGGAAUACUGCAGAGCUAGGGAGUGGGAGAGGUAGACGGUACUCGGUAGGAAGGGGUAAAAUCCUUUGAUCUAUUGAUGACCACCUGUGGCGAAGGCGGUCUACCAGAACACGUCCGACGGUGAGGGAUGAAAGCUGGGGGAGCAAACCGGAUUAGAUACCCGGGUAGUCCCAGCUGUAAACUAUGCAAACUCAGUGAUGCAUUGACUUGUGGUCAAUGCAGUGCUGCAGGGAAGCCGUUAAGUUUGCCGCCUGGGAAGUACGUACGCAAGUAUGAAACUUAAAGGAAUUGGCGGGGGAGCACCACAAGGGGUGAAGCCUGCGGUUC